rnacentral:rRNA from 1 species
UACGAGGGGGGCAAGCGUUGUUCGGAAUUAUUGGGCGUAAAGGGUGCGUAGGCGGUUUUGUAAGUCUUGUGUGAAAUCUUCAGGCUCAACUUGAAGACUGCACGAGAAACUGCAGGGCUUGAGUGUGGGAGAGGUGAGUGGAAUUCAUGGUGUAGCAGUGAAAUGCGUAGAGAUCAUGAGGAAGACCAGUGGCGAAGGCGGGUCUCUGGACAGUUCCUGACACUGAGGCACGAAGGCCAGGGGAGCAAACGGG